rnacentral:rRNA from 1 species
UACGUAGGGUCCGAGCGUUGUCCGGAAUUAUUGGGCGUAAAGGGCUCGUAGGCGGUUUGUCGCGUCGGGCGUGAAAAUCCAGGGCUUAACUCUGGACUGGCUUCCGAUACGGGCAGACUAGAGGUAUGCAGGGGAGAACGGAAUUCCUGGUGUAGCGGUGAAAUGCGCAGAUAUCAGGAGGAACACCGGUGGCGAAGGCGGUUCUCUGGGCAUUACCUGACGCUGAGGAGCGAAAGUGUGGGGAGCGAACAGG